rnacentral:lncRNA from 1 species
GUGACACAGAAGACAGUUGAUUUCUGCGUUUCCAACUGAGCAGGGAAGAAAUGUAACCAUGCAUAAGAAAACAGGAACUAAGGAGGGGCAAGGAAGCCAUCAUCAUGAAUGAGAAGUCUGACAACUGGUGCUGUGAUCUGCUAAUUACCAAGAGCACUUUAAGCACACUGGUGGAUUUAAACAAUGUGAAUAAGUAAGAUUGUGAUUUGGCUUUGACAAAGGCAGAGUCAAGCUGGCUUUGUCAUGUAAAGGGCCUGAGACGGCCACAUGGUAUGUUUAAUUGAUGUAAGUACCAGAAAAUGGCAUAAAUGAGUACAGAAUUUAGUUUAAGGGCAUGAUAAACAUGGGAAGGAAAGAAAUGAAAAGAACUAAGAUGUGGGUGAAAAUAUUUGGAGGCGAUGAAUUGAUUACAGAUGAUUAUUGAAAGCUGUUGGCCAUAACACUCCCAGAGGCCUCAUUGUACGGGUUCAAGAAACUGUCAUAAGAGAAUUCUGAAAGCCAAGGUAAGCAGUAAGUAUCCAUUAGGUAGUUUCCAUUCUUUCUCUUCCUGAAAACGUUUAUCAUCUCCAGUGUGAUUUGCACAUAUUGAUUAAUUAAUCUCUAAGUGACUAAUUUUUCAUUAUUUGACAGAUAAUUAGAUCUUUCAUAAAUCUGUGUAAUAAAAGCAUGCAGGAAGCAUUGUGAGCCAGUUUAAUAAUUGGCAUUAGUUUUCAAGAAGAAUGUGUUCCAGCUCAGUUGUUUCCUUAUUAGAAAUCAUCCUGUCAGGAAACACUUUAUAGAUAAAGUAAAUGAUCUUGUCUUCUGGAAAAUAUGACAAUGAUUUUUAACACUUGCCAUUUCACAAGAACCUAAGGCUCCUAUGCUCCAAUUACCCCAGUCUCUAUUAAUUCAAAAAAAAUGGGUGUGUCUGAAUUUUAGUGAUGUUAAAAAUAUGAAAACCAUGGGUCAUCUUUCCUUUGAUUCUAAAAGUGAAGAUGCAUAGGGAGGUAGAGGACCUGAUUAUAACAACCAAAGAAUUGGAGAAUAUUUGUUUUGGAAAGGAAUUGAAAGAAGGAUGAGCUCAUAUCCUUUAAUUUACAGAGUAAAAACCUGAAUCUCAUAAAGGUUAAAUGAUAAAUCCAAAGAUACAAAACUGAUGGGAGAGAUUUGAUUACACUAUGGUGCCCCACAGUUACCCACUAGGAACUCACCAGCUCCAAAUUUCACCUCCCUUUAGAAGAAAACUCCAUUUCUUUUUGUAAAAUAUCUUGACAGAUUCUCUCUGAAAUUGUGUACACCACAGACAAUGAUCAAGAGAAGUGAUGGACUUUUACAAUCCCAUUAUUCACUUUAUAUCUUUUCCAAUUUUCUGAAUUUACUGAUCCAAAUCCUAAGUCAGUGGUUCCAAACUGAGAAGCCAUUAAUGUAGAAGUGAGAAGCCAAUAGAAAAUCUUUGAACUAUUUAACAAUCUAAGAGAACUCAUACAUUUUACUAACAGUAUAAAUUAUCACGGAACUUCUGAUUUUCGAAGAGACUAUUAUUAAAGGAGAUUAUAUUAAGUUUUUAAUAGUUUGGUACCUCCAUUUUCUAUUAUGAGUUAAAUAAUCUUUAUGAAAUAUGUAUUAUUGUAUUUUUGUGUAUUUUAUAUUUUAAGGAAAAUGUACUGUGAAACUUUGUAAGUAUAUAAUGUUAAAGUAAACUUUAUUAAUUUUCCUUGGCUUCUUAUAAAAUGUAAGCCUUGAUUCACCCACACUUUUUGGUAUUCUAUGUUGAAAGGAAAAUUUUACUAUACUUAAGUGCUGUUCCAAGGUUAAAUACUCAUACAUAUAUUUAAUGUUCCAAUUCUAGAAAUCAAACUUAAGAAGUAACACUUUUGGUGGAACCACAAACGGAAAAGAGUCUUGGGUCCUGAAUCAUGGUUUGGAGAAGACCUUUAUGCCUAUUAGGAGCCAAAAGCCUAAAACUCUAAACUUAAAACACAAGCAAUAGAAUGUUGAUUCUGUCCUGUCUGCAGUAUACAGGAUUAGCUUUUUCUGUUAAGAUAAAACUAGGAAAUAAAGUUGUGUGUGGAAGCAAUAAAAAUCUGAACUAUUCCUACAUGUAAUUCUAGAAAUUUAUAGGUGCUACAUUUUUUGAAAAUUUUAAUGACAUAUAUAAGAAGGAAAAUCAAAUUAAAAAUUCAAGUUGAUGUUAUCUUUAAAAAAAAGUAAUAGUUCAUCCUGUUCAUUCAUAAUCUAAAUUAGGUAAAAACCAGUGAUAAAAUAUUGUGUGUUAUUUUAAAAUAUAUGUAUAUCUACACAAACGAUAUUAUAUAUACAAAUACUCGUACUCAUGUACACACCCUAUCAUUAAUAAAGCAUCAUUGUUUAAUUUUAGGAAAAAAAUAACUACAAUUGGGAAUAAAAUUGAUUGCCCUAUUACA